GGCCCCCCUGGGAUCUAUACAAUGGGGGCAACCCUGAUCUAGCCUGCCGCGUGAGUGAUGAAGGCCUUAGGGUCGUAAAGCUCUUUCGCCUGUGAUGAUAAUGACAGUAGCAGGUAAAGAAACCCCGGCUAACUCCGUGCCAGCAGCCGCGGUAAUAAUUCUU
rnacentral:rRNA from 1 species